UCCCCGGAUUCCACAAUCUUGACUUAAUCUUUCUAUAGAGGAUGAUUCCCAUAAAGAUUACUCUGUUCUUCUUUUAAUAUCUAGUUGCCAAAUGGGUUUGACCAGCAUCUUUAAUUAAGUAUGGAAUGUAAAUACAUUUGAAUGUUACUUCACCAAACGCAUUAAGGACCAGGAAGGCUGGAUGUUGUCAGCGCUCCCCGGAGACCAGCCAUGGGGCAGUUCCCACCCUCACCAACCACCCACGGACAGGACAGGGAUCGAACUCGGGACCUUGCGCUUGCGAGGCAGGCACCGGAACCACUGAGCUAAAUCCCCAGCCCUACUAGUUGUUUUCUUGAAAAGAAGUUUUUACAAGAAAAUCAUGAUAAAUUCCGUCUUUGUGGAAAUGAGAACCAUAGAACAAACCAAAUCUUGAAGAUAUAACACAAGGGCUGCAUUACUGAGGCCUGCAUAACAACUGCUGAGCUCAGUAAUGAUUUAUAUAGUUGCUGA
rnacentral:lncRNA from 1 species